rnacentral:rRNA from 1 species
UACGAAGGGUGCAAGCGUUAAUCGGAAUUACUGGGCGUAAAGGGUGCGUAGACGGCCUAUUAAGUCGACUGUGAAAGUCCUGGGCUCAACCUGGGGACUGCAGUUGAUACUGAUGGGCUUUGAGUUUGGGAGAGGGUGGUGGAAUUCCCGGUGUAGCGGUGAAAUGCGUAGAGAUCGGGAGGAACAUCCGUGGCGAAGGCGGCCACCUGGCCUGAAACUGACGUUGAGGCACGAAAGCGUGGGGAGCAAACAGG